GAUGAACGCUGGCGGCGUGCCUAAUACAUGCAAGUCGAGCGAACAGACGAGGAGCUUGCUCCUCUGACGUUAGCGGCGGACGGGUGAGCAACACGUGGAUAACCUACCUAUAAGACUGGGAUAACUUCGGGAAACCGGAGCUAAUACCGGAUAAUAUAUUGAACCGCAUGGUUCAAUAGUGAAAGACGGUUUUGCUGUCACUUAUAGAUGGAUCCGUGCCGCAUUAGCUAGUUGGUAAGGUAACGGCUUACCAAGGCAACGAUGCGUAGCCGACCUGAGAGGGUGAUCGGCCACACUGGAACUGAGACACGGUCCAGACUCCUACGGGAGGCAGCAGUAGGGAAUCUUCCGCAAUGGGCGAAAGCCUGACGGAGCAACGCCGCGUGAGUGAUGAAGGUCUUCGGAUCGUAAAACUCUGUUAUUAGGGAAGAACAAAUGUGUAAGUAACUAUGCACGUCUUGACGGUACCUAAUCAGAAAGCCACGGCUAACUACGUG
rnacentral:rRNA from 1 species